GUGCUCACUUCAGCAGCAUGUAUACUAAAAUUGGAACAAUAUAAGGGUUAGCAUGGCCCCUGCACAAGGGUGACAUUCAAAUUCGUGAAAUGUUCCAUAUUUUU